AUUCCAGCUCCAAUAGCGUAUACUAAAGUUGUUGCAGUUAAAAAGCUCGUAGUUGAAUUUCUGGUCGUGGCGAUCGGUCCGCCCCUCACGGGGUGUGCACCUGGUCUCUACGUCCAUCCUCGGGGAGAGCACGCCUGGCAUUCAGUUGUCGGGUGUGGGAUCCUCGUCAUUUACUGUGAGCAAAAUAGAGUGUUCAAAGCAGGCUUAGGCCGUUGAAUACAUUAGCAUGGAAUAAUAAGAUAGGACCUUGGUCUAUUUUGUUGGUUUGCAUUCCAAGGUAAUGAUUAAUAGGGAUAGUUGGGGGUAUUCGUAUUCAAUUGUCAGAGGUGAAAUUCUUGGAUUUAUGGAAGACGAACUACUGCGAAAGCAUUUACCAAGGAUGUUUUCAUCA
rnacentral:rRNA from 1 species